UACGUAGGGGGCAAGCGUUGUCCGGAAUUAUUGGGCGUAAAGAGCGCGUAGGCGGUCCGAUAAGUCGGCUGUGAAAGUCAAGGGCUCAACCCUUGAAAGCCGGCCGAUACUGUCGGACUAGAGUCCGGAAGAGGCGAGUGGAAUUCCCGGUGUAGCGGUGAAAUGCGCAGAUAUCGGGAGGAACACCAAUGGCGAAGGCAGCUCGCUGGGACGGUACUGACGCUGAGUGAGCGAAAGCCAGGGGAGCAAACGGG
rnacentral:rRNA from 1 species